rnacentral:rRNA from 1 species
UACGAAGGGGACUAGCGUUGUUCGGAAUCACUGGGCGUAAAGCGCACGUAGGUGGAUUUGUAAGUCAGGGGUGAAAUCCCGGGGCUCAACCUCGGAACUGCCUUUGAUACUGCGAAUCUUGAGUCCGAUAGAGGUGGGUGGAAUUCCUAGUGUAGAGGUGAAAUUCGUAGAUAUUAGGAAGAACACCGGUGGCGAAGGCGGCCCACUGGAUCGGUACUGACACUGAGGUGCGAAAGCGUGGGGAGCAAACAGG